rnacentral:lncRNA from 1 species
AUGAGCCAUCCUUCUAUUGAUUUAAGUAUUUUGUUCCAGCCAGUCACAAUUAACUUUGAUUUGUUUUUACUUUCCUCUUAUAGGUUUGCAUUUAAAACACUCUUGGAGCACCAAUUGUCUAAAAUUCUGAGCUGCAGAAGUCUGCUUCAUGAUUCCUCAGGCCUAGCAUGGGAAUAUAGGGAAACUAACACCUGCUGGGGCAAUUACCUAUGUGGUUUUGGAUUUGAUGACCAGUUUCUUUUGAUUGGAAAUUACUAUGUUAACUCUGACCUGGAAGACAGUGAAUUUAGAAUGCCCUGUUGA